ACAAACUUGGUCAUUUAGAGGAAGUAAAAGUCGUAACAAGGUUUCCGUAGGUGAACCUGCGGAAGGAUCAUUAAUGAAUUUUAGGACGUUCUUUUUAGAAGUCCGACCAUUUCAUUUUCUUACACUGUGCACACACUUCUUUUUACACACACUUUUAACACAUUAGUAUAAGAAUGUAAUAGUCUCUUAAUUGAGCAUAAACAAAAAUAAAACUUUCAGCAACGGAUCUCUUGGCUCUCGCAUCGAUGAAGAACGCAGC
rnacentral:misc_RNA from 1 species